AGCGGAGCAUGUGGCUUAAUUCGACGCAACGCGAAGAACCUUACCAAGGACUUGAAAUGCAAGUGAAGCGGUGGAAACGCCGUGGCCGAAAGGAGCUUGCACAGGUGGUGCAUGGCUGUCGUCAGCUCGUGCCGUGAGGUGUCGGGUUAAGUCCCAUAACGAGCGCAACCCUUACCGUUAGUUACCAUCAGGUUAAGCUGGGGACUCUAGCGGGACUGCCACCGUAAGGUGAGAGGAAGGUGGGGAUGACGUCAAAUCAGCACGGCCCUUAUGUCCAGGGCUACACACGUGUUACAAUGGCCGGUACAAAGGGCAGCUACUUCGCGAGAAGAUGCUAAUCUCGAAAGCCGGUCUCAGUUCGGAUCGAAGUCUGCAACCCGACUUCGUGAAGCUGGAUUCGCUAGUAAUCGCGCAUCAGCCAUGGCGCGGUGAAUACGUUCCCGGGCCUU
rnacentral:rRNA from 1 species